rnacentral:tRNA from 1 species
GCUCGCCUAGCUCAGUUGGUUAGAGCGUCGUGCUAAUAACGCGAAUGUCGCAGGUUCGAUUCCUGCGGUGAGCA